AUGCUUCCCUCUCUCCUUGGGCCACACCCGCUCUCUACAGACGUUCUUCAUACUAACCACAUACCAAACCUGGCAAUCUGGGGCUUGCAGAAGUCACAGUACUUCAGGGGUCCAUAGGUGAUCUGAUUCCCUGCAAAGGCUAUCCCCACAGCAAGCCCAGCUUCUAGAAGAGGGAGUCACGCCCCUGCCCCACUGCAGCACAGCCUGUAGGUAGACCAGAGUAAAUGCUGGAGCACUUCGUGUAGGUUAGAGGUUGGGGGCCCCCCGAAGGCAGCAGGGAACCUACCACAGCUGUUUGGGGGGGCAGCAUGAAUAGAAGCCUCCAGCUGCUGUCUACACCCUGGCUGGGUGCCUACCUAAAGCCCCCAACCACUGUCUACAUCCUGGCUGGCUGGAUGCCUACCUGGUACCCACUUGCCAUGCAGAGGCCUGUCCGGGAGGUCACAGCCUUAGGCAAACAGUUGAACCUGUGUCAACUGCCCGCUUCCUCCCUCGUGCACCUCAAUCUAUGGAUCUGAGCCCCCAGCUCCACCCACCCCCACUGACUCAACAAACAAUAAUAGCUAAUAUUUAUUGAGCAUUCAGACUAUGCCAGCCUUUCCCACAGGCUUCUCCCUUGGUUUCAUGCAGUCCAUAUUUAUUGUGGGUCCUCAUGUGCCUGGCACUGUGCCCUGGGGCAGGGGUUCUACGCAUGCGUUCUGGAGCUUGGGGCUCCCAGUGAGUACGGCUGAUGCAAGCCCAGCCCUGAUGGUAGCAGGGCGCAGAAGAGAACAAAUAGAGGCCUCUUGCUGUACACCUAUAUAUUUAAAGUCCUAAGGCAAGCUAAUGACUAACUGUUAAAUAAAAUGUUUAUUCUCCU
rnacentral:lncRNA from 1 species